rnacentral:miRNA from 1 species
ACGAAGGCUUAAUGAUUAUCAU